UGAGGAAUAUUGGUCAAUGGGCGUAAGCCUGAACCAGCCAAGCCGCGUGGAGGAAGAAGGCGCAGAGCGUCGCAGACUCCUUUUGUCGGGGGACAAACGGCCGCACGCGUGCGGCUCUGAGGGUACCCGAAGAAAAAGCAUCGGCUAACUCCGUGCCAGCAGCCGCGGUAAUACGGAGGAUGCGAGCGUUAUCCGGAUUCAUUGGGUUUAAAGGGUGCGUAGGCGGCGUCUUAAGCCGGCGGUGAAAUCGCGGGGCUCAACCCCGCCGAGCCGUCGGAACUGGGAUGCUCGAGUGUCGGCGAGGCAUGCGGAAUGCGCGGUGUAGCGGUGAAAUGCAUAGAUAUCGCGCAGAACCCCGAUUGCGAAGGCAGCGUGCCAGCCGCCCACUGACGCUGAGGCACGAAAGCGCGGGUAUCGAACAGGAUUAGAUACC
rnacentral:rRNA from 1 species